UUCAAGGGUAAGCCUGUUGAUGCCUGAGU
rnacentral:piRNA from 1 species